GUUAAUCUAGUUUAUAAAAAUAUUAGCUUGUCGAGCUAAAGAUGCAAAUAAAUUGCGUUUAAUU
rnacentral:tRNA from 1 species